CCGAGUGAGGGCCCUCGGGCUCGACCUCCAACCCUUUGUGAACACAUCUUGUUGCUUCGGGGGCGACCCUGCCGUUCCGACGGCGAGCGCCCCCGGAGGCCUUCAAACACUGCAUCUUUGCGUCGGAGUUUAAGUAAAUUUAAACA
rnacentral:misc_RNA from 1 species